GACGUAGGGCGCAAGCGUUGUCCGGAUUUAUUGGGCGUAAAGAGCUCGUAGGCGGCUUGUUGCGUCGGCUGUGAAAACCCGUGGCUUAACUGCGGGCUUGCAGCCGAUACGGGCGGGCUGGAGUUCGGAAGAGGGUCGUGGAAUUCCCAGUGUAGAGGUGAAAUGCGCAGAUAUCGGGAGGAACACCAAUGGCGAAGGCAGCUCGCUGGGACGUUACUGACGCUGAGACGCGAAAGCGUGGGGAGCAAACAGG
rnacentral:rRNA from 1 species